ensembl:lncRNA
GGGCCGAUGCCGGCGGCGGGGCGGGGCCCAGGUGGAGCCCCUGGACCGAACCUCGCCACACCCGCCUGACAGUGGAUGCCGCUCUCCCUGGCCCGUCCUGUCUUCUGUCUCUCCCAGCUCUCCGCUGAGCCUCCGCGCUCUCACCCCCUGUCUGUCUGUGAUAUGUAACGACAGCUCAGCUCAUCUUUUGCCAUUUUGUAUAAUGCCAGCCCUGACCUUCAUGGCCCAGUCAACUUCACAGCCCAGAAAUGGACACAUUUGCAACAGUUUGGAAAACAGUGCCCUUGACUGAGAGCCCUCUGAGGACGGGGCCCUCUGUGACUGGCGCCGGGUAUGGCACACAGCAGCGUUCAUUGAAGGUUUGCGGAUUGUAGCAAACAAGGAGAGAGGCGGGGCAGGGCGUGGCGGUGGAGGUGUCUGAGAGUCUGUGAGGUGUUAUCGUAAUGAGAAUUAUAAAACUUGGAUGUCCCUUGUUGCCCAAGCUGCCAGAAAGUUCAAGCAAAAUCAAAAGCUUACCCCAGAGACUAACUUAACUCUCAUAGUUUUUUGCUUUUUAAUUUUAUUUACCUAUUUAUCUAUGUCAAUUUUUUGAGUUGCUUCAUGUUCU